rnacentral:rRNA from 1 species
CCUACGGGCGGCAGCAGUGAGGAAUAUUGGUCAAUGGGCGAGAGCCUGAACCAGCCAAGUCGCGUGAGGGAGUACUGCCCUAUGGGUUGUAAACCUCUUUUGUCGGGGAGCAAAAGCCGGACGUGUCCGGCUGUGAGAGUACCCGAAGAAACAGCAUCGGCUAACUCCGUGCCAGCAGCCGCGGUAAUACGGAGGAUGCGAGGGUUAUCCGGAUUUAUUGGGUUUAAGGGGUGCGCAGGCGGAUUUUUAAGUCAGCGGUAAAAUCGUGGGGCUCAACCCCAUCCAGCCGUUGAAACUGGGGAUCUAGAGUGUGCGAGAGGUAUGCGGAAUGCGUGGUGUAGCGGUGAAAUGCAUAGAUAUCACGCAGAACCUCGAUUGCGAAGGCAGCAUACCGGUGCACAACUGACGCUCAGGCACGAAAGCGUGGGUAUCGAACAGGAUUAGAUACCCCAGUAGUC